rnacentral:tRNA from 2 species
GCGGGAGUGGCGGAAUGGCAGACGCGCUGGUUUUAGGCACCAGUUCCGAAAGAGUGAGGGUUCGACCCCCUUCUCCCGCACCA